ensembl:lncRNA
UGACGCUGCUGAAGUGCAGCUCGAAUGCAGAUGAUGGGACACCUGUCCUGCUGGAAUCAGAGGCGCGCCCGCAGGAGCGAGCGUGGGAAGCGAGCGCGCGCUCUGAGAGGGGCGCACAGACGGAUAUUACCGCCUUUACCGCAUUACAGAAUCCCACUGCAUCAUAUGUGGCCAAACCAACAGCGACACAGCAAGCGGGCAUCUCUAGAGACUAUUCACACCCUUCACACAAUCCACCAAUCCCUCCUUAUGAUAAGCGAGAAUGAAGGAGGAGAAAAACACAGGGAGGAGCAGGGAACCCGUGUUCCAGGAGGUGGGAUGGCACAGCUACGACCAUUAAGAGAUCCAGAAUGUAUUUAAUCACCAAGGUAACCCCAGGCAGAUGGACACAUCCAGGAAAUGAGUCCCAGCAGCUAUUUUUGUGAACCAUCACUCCUGCUAACCACACUGCAAAAAAAAACAAAAAAACAGUUUUUGUGUUGUUUCAGUAAUAAUAUCUAACCGGUCU